ACGAACGCUGGCGGCAGGCCUAACACAUGCAAGUCGAACGGCUGUAGCAAUACAGCAGUGGCGGACGGGUGAGUAACGCGUGGGAAUUUUUCCAGAGGUUCGGAAUAACUGAGGGAAACUUCAGCUAAUACCGGAUGAUGCCGAGAGGCCAAAGAUUUAUUGCCUUUGGGUGAGCCCGCGUUGGAUUAGGUAGUUGGUUAGGUAAAGGCUGACCAAGCCUGCGAUCCAUAGCUGGUCUGAGAGGACGAUCAGCCACACUGGGACUGAGACACGGCCCAGACUCCUACGGGAGGCAGCAGUGGGGAAUCUUGCGCAAUGGGCGAAAGCCUGACGCAGCCAUGCCGCGUGAGUGAUGAAGGUCUUAGGAUUGUAAAGCUCUUUCACCCGUGACGAUGAUGACGGUAACGGGAGAAGAAGCCCCGGCUAACUUCGU
rnacentral:rRNA from 1 species